rnacentral:rRNA from 1 species
GCGGCAUGCCUANNCAUGCAAGUCGAAUGGCGAAGAAUAAUGGCGGACGGGUGAGUAACACGUUAGUUAUCAACCCUUAGGAGUAGGCAAUAACAGACGGAAACGUUUGCUAAUGGACCGUAAAAUCUUUAUUAAAAUUUAGAUUGAGAACUCAAAGCGGCCUAAGGACGAGCUUGCGUCUGAUUAGCUUGUUGGUUGGGUAAAGGCCUACCAAGGCUUUGAUCAGUAAUUGGUCUGAGAGGACGAUCAGUCACACUGGAAUUGAGAUACGGAACAGACUCCUACGGGAGGCAGCAGUGGGGAAUUUUUGGCAAUGGACGACAGUCUGACCAAGCAAUGCCGCGUGGAGGAAGAGGGCCUUUGGGUUGUAAUCUCCUUUUCUMAUCGAAGAAAUUUUGACGGUAGUUGAGGAAUAAGUAUGGGCUAAUUCUGUGCCAGCAGCCGCGGUAAUACAGAACAUACAAGCGUUAUCCGGAAUUAUUGGGCGUAAAGCGUCUGUAGAUGGUUUAUUAAGUUUAAUGUUAAAUAUUAGAGCUUAACUUUGAAACGGCAUUAAAAACUGGUAGACUUGAGUACGAUAGGGGUAGAGGGAAUUUUCAGUGUAGCGGUGAAAUGCGUAGAUAUUGGAAAGAACACCGAUGGCGAAAGCACUCUGCUAGGUUGCUACUGACAUUGAGAGACGAAAGCUAGGGGAGCAAAACGGAUUAGAUACCCGUGUAGUCCUAGCUGUAAACGAUGGAUACUAAGUGGUGCAUUUGUACUGCUAAAGCUAACGCGUUAAGUAUCCCGCCUGGGGAGUACGCUUGCAAAAGUGAAACUCAAAGGACUUGACGGGAAUAUACACAAGCGGUGGAGCAUGUGGUUUAAUUCGUCGAUACACGAAUAACCUUACCAGGGUUUGACAUGUUGGAAAGUUUUCUGAAAAGAAAAUGUGCCUUUUGGAAUCCAAACACAGGUGGUGCAUGGUUGUCGUCAGCUCGUGUCGUGAGAUGUUGGGUUAAGUCCCGCAACGAGCGCAACCCUCAUUUUUAGUUGAUGUUCUAGAAAAACUGCCGAUGACAAAUCGGAGGAAGGAGAGGAAGAAGUCAAAUCAUCAUGCCCCUUAUACCCUGGGCUACACACGUGCUACAAUGGUUAAGACAACGGGUCGCUAGUCUGUAAAGAUAUGCUAAUCUCUUAAACUUAAUCUUAGUUCGGAUUAUAGGCUGCAACUCGCCUAUAUGAAGCUGGAAUCGCUAGUAAUCGCCGGUCAGCUAUACGGCGGUGAAUACGUUCUUAUAUUUUGUACAUACCGCCCGUCACACCAUGGAAGUCGGUCAAACCUGAAGUAGUU